GCCAAAGGCAGAGCUUUAACCCACUGAGCCACCCAGGCGCCCCCUAUUUUUAUUUUUAUAGAAAAUGUAGGUAUGUGUUUUAUGUCUUCUCCCCCCUCCUAUUUGUUAGUUACUCAUUUUUAUUGUAGUUUACAAAUAUAUUAUUAUAUUUUACAAAAGCACAUGCCACUAUUUUUUUAAGGUUCCCAGAGCCGGUUCCAGCGUGGCGAGCACCGGGCUCCUCAGAUACCAGGGGGUGCCCGGAAUUCAGCCCAGUCAUGACACGGUCCACCCAGGGACAGCAGCAGCCCCACAGCUCUUUGCUCUGCACGAGGCCCUUCCAGAAAGCAGUGAGGAGAGGACAGGGAGGAUUACAGGUAAUGUCCCUCACUUCCUCGGCCUCUUUGCUGCAUUUGAUAAUGGCCGUGUCCCAGCGUCAUCCCCACCACCCAGGAGCUGCAGUUCACUGUCCAGGGCCGAGGCCCCAUCUCCCAGCUGCCAGUGUUUUGCCAAUUUGGGAACAUCCGAAAUGUCUUUAGCCUCUUCAUCGAGGGACCUUGGUGUCACAGUGGCAG